ACUUCUGUCAGAUCAGAGGGAGGAAGCUCGUCAUUAGGCUGGGUCACUUCUGUCCGAUCAGAGGGAGGAAGCUCGUCAUUAGGCUGGGUCACUUCUGUCCGAUCAGAGGGAGGAAGCUCGUCAUUAGGCUGGGUCACUUCUGUCCGAUCAGAGGGAGGAAGCUCGUCAUUAGGCUGGGUCACUUCUGUCCGAUCAGAGGGAGGAAGCUCGUCAUUAGGCUGGGUCACUUCUGUCCGAUCAGAGGGAGGAAGCUCGUCAUUAGGCUGGUCACUUCUGUCCGAUCAGAGGGAGGUUUUAGACAUAGUAACGGAGGAAGCUGGUCACUUCUGUCCGAUCAGAGGGAGGUUUUAGACAUAGUAACGGAGGAAGCUGGUCACUUCUGUCCGAUCAGAGGGAGGUUUUAGACAUAGUAACGGAGGAAGCUGGUCACUUCUGUCCGAUCAGAGGGAGGUUUUAGACAUAGUAACGGAGGAAGCUGGUCACUUCUGUCCGAUCAGAGGGAGGUUUUAGACAUAGUAACGGAGGAAGCUGGUCACUUCUGUCCGAUCAGAGGGAGGUUUUAGACAUAGUAACGGAGGAAGCUGGUCACUUCUGUCAGAUCAGAGGGAGGUUUUAGACAUAGUAACGGAGGAAGCUGGUCACUUCUGUCAGAUCAGAGGGAGAUUUUAGACAUAGUAACGGAGGAAGCUGGUCACUUCUGUCCGAUCAGAGGGAGGUUUUAGAUGCAGUAAUGGUUGGAAGAGCCCAGGAGAGUGGAGAGAGAAACUACAGAUUGGCAACUAUUCAUUGGCAUGGUUGUGC